rnacentral:misc_RNA from 1 species
GAAAUGCGAUACGCAAUGCGAAUUGCAGAAUUCCGCGAAUCAUCAGAUUCUUGAACGCAACUGGCGCUGGAGGGAUAUCCUUCCAGCAUGUCUGUUUCAGUGUCUGAAAACUUCCUAAUUCAUUCUAAUGUGUUUGACAAGGAGUGAUUCAUUUUUAUAAUGAAUUACAAAAAAUAUUAUCCAAGUCUUACAUGAAAGAUGUAUGUGUGGGUCUUUGGAUCCAUCGAAUUGGUCAUCGAUUCCUUCGGUGAUUUCGAUUGGAUGUCACCAAUUACUCGUAUACACAUAGAAGAAAUACAUUAUAUUAUAUAUGUAUACAUAUACUUUAUCAUCUGCAUCUGAAAUCAGGCAAGAAAACCCGCUGAACUUAA